rnacentral:rRNA from 1 species
GAUGAACGCUGGCGGCGUGCCUAAUACAUGCAAGUCGAGCGAACAGACGAGGAGCUUGCUCCUUUGACGUUAGCGGCGGACGGGUGAGUAACACGUGGAUAACCUACCUAUAAGACUGGGAUAACUUCGGGAAACCGGAGCUAAUACCGGAUAACAUGUUGAACCGCAUGGUUCAACAGUGAAAGACGGUCUUGCUGUCACUUAUAGAUGGAUCCGCGCCGCAUUAGCUAGUUGGUAAGGUAACGGCUUACCAAGGCAACGAUGCGUAGCCGACCUGGGAGGGUGAUCGGCCACACUGGAACUGAGACACGGUCCAGACUCCUACGGGAGGCAGCAGUAGGGAAUCUUCCGCAAUGGGCGAAAGCCUGACGGAGCAACGCCGCGUGAGUGAAGAAGGUCUUCGGAUCGUAAAACUCUGUUAUUAGGGAAGAACAAAUGUGUAAGUAACUAUGCACGUCUUGACGGUACCUAAUCAGAAAGCCACGGCUAACUACGUG